GGGUGGAAGAGGUCGGCUGCACGCGCUCCUACUCCUCCGCUCUCCUCUUUUUCUCCAUCUCAUCCUGCUGUUUGUGGGUGUUCUCCGCUUCCCUUCCGUUGUAUAGUCUCCUGGUUACCCCGUGUGUCUGGUUACUCAAGUCUGACAUCGUGGUGUUACGCAUUGUUGGAUAUUGAUGUUACAUUCUAAGGGUGAUAUUUCGUGACUGUGUGUGUGUGUAGUGAGUGUUCUCGUGUGUGUUAUUCGUCAUUCUGUGUACUUGGAAAGGCUAAGACGUGGGUGUUGUGUGUCUUUCUGGAGUCUUAUUGAACCCACUGGUGUCUGCUUCGCCAGGACGGUGUAUAGAAGUGAAGAGGAACGAGAUAAAGAAAAAAUAAAUCAAAAAGAUAUUACGUGUUUCUCCUGGACUUUCCACGGAGGUAAUUGGCCGCAGCACAGGUUGGAACGGCCGCACCUCGCUCUCACCUUUACCUUCCCGGAACCAGACGUAGUGAGGCGCCGUGUCGCUGGUAUUGACAUCAACAACAACAACAGCAAAAACAACAGCAAAAAGUGCUAGCGGAAGAGUCUGCAAGGGGUGUGUAGCUUCGGUGUAGAGUGCGUGUUUGGGAGCCUCGAGGGAGUGUGUGUGUAUGUGCGUGUGUCUGUGAGGCCGCGGAGAGUCUUCACGCACGUCCAACAGAUAAAUCGUCGCUGUUGUUGGAAAAGAGUGGGAUGCGAACUGGUGCCCCUGAGUGAGUGCGUCGAUUGUGUAUGAUCCUGCGCAGACCUGGGGAUGAAUUUGAGUGAUUGCCGUGUUGGGAUUGACGUGAUCUGUUCCCCGAAGAAGCCUGCGGCGCUGACCUGGAACUCGCCGACCCUUGGACUGUGAAAGAUGGCGCUGGUAUUCCUGAGAUUUUAUUGCCGAAGUGACGAUGUGUGAGGAACUUGUUGCCGAUAUUGGAACAGAAAGAGUUUAGAUAGUCAUAGAGUAUAGACAGUAAUAGAAACAUUUCCUGACUUUGCUUACAGGGAAAAAGAAUGGCAUAAGAACCCUCAAAAUACCCGAAAAGAAGUGUUCUGAAGACCCUAGGUAGUCAUAGAGUAAAGAUAGCAAUAGAACCAUACCCUGACUUUGCUGGCAGGGAAGAGAAGAAUAUAAGAACCCUCAGAAUACAAAACGUUCAGAGGACUAAAGAAAGCAUUGUUAUUUAGACAUUUCCAGUGUUUCAGGAACAUCCAAGAAGAAAAAAAUCCUGAAAAGAAAUACUCAGAAUUCAAGACAUACAGAGAACUACAGAAACCUAUUUAUUUAGACAUUUCCAGUGGUUCAGGAACAUCCAAGAAGAAAAGAAAUCCUGAAAAGAAACAUCCAGAAUACAAGACAUACAGAGAACUACAGAAACCUAGUUAUUUAGACGUUACCAGUGAAUCGUAGACAUAUAAGAAGAAAAUAAAUACUUGUUAAAUCAGCCACAAGAAGAAGAAACAUGGACUAAAGAAAGCCAAAUUAUCUAGACAUUCCCAGUGGUUCGCAGACAUACAUGAAGGAAAGAAUUACGUGUUAACUCAGCCGCAGUGCAAGAGGAGUAAACUUGGUAACUUCUUCGUUAAUAUAUGCGCGUGAGUUGUCAGGAAACUACUCCCAGACGAAAUUAAAACAGUGGUGUCGGAAGCCGAGCCACAACAACAGCUGUUUGUCACCACCACCACCACAACCACCACGAUGAGACUCUUAUGUCGCCUCAUCACCCCCCAGAGGACUCCACUUCUGCCACUCCUCGUCUCUGCAUUAUUAGGUGAGUCUCAACACUUCUUUG